GACGUAGGGCGCGAGCGUUGUCCGGAUUUAUUGGGCGUAAAGAGCUCGUAGGCGGCUUGUUACGUCGACUGUGAAAACCCGCGGCUCAACCGUGUGGCUUGCAGUCGAUACGGGCAGACUAGAGGUAUGCAGGGGAGAAUGGAAUUCCUGGUGUAGCGGUGAAAUGCGCAGAUAUCAGGAGGAACACCGGUGGCGAAGGCGGUUCUCUGGGCAUUACCUGACGCUGAGGAGCGAAAGUGUGGGGAGCGAACAGG
rnacentral:rRNA from 1 species